rnacentral:misc_RNA from 1 species
AACCAUAGAAACCUGCGGAGUACCUGCGGAAGGAUCAUUACUGUGGGGGCCCCCCCGGGGGCCCCUACCGAGAUAGAACCCCUUGAAUUUUUGAGCACCCACUGUUUCCUCGGCGGGCUCGCCCGCCAGCGGGGACCAACCAAAAACCUCCACCGCAGUGUCAGUAGUCAAAAACGUACCAAACAAAUCAAUCAAAACUUUUAGCAAUGGAUCU